UUUUUUGGGUAAAACGAGAGCCGUAUUUAAGAAUCAUGUGGUGCUCGUUUCAUUUCACAGAUGGAAAAUAAAGACUUCUUUCACUCCUUUCGUGUAAACACAGAACUCUUCCUUCCCUUUUGUGAAAAUUAAGACUUCUUUCACUCUUCCUUCUAUCUUUCUUAUGAGAUUUCAUCAAUUGGCAUAGAAUUUGCAGCAUGAACUUCAAACCGGAAGUUCUUUCUCCGUUUCAUUUUGCUACAAAAGGAGCUCAAAGACGUCGCACAGAAGCUAAGACUGAACUCAGUGAACCCAGUGGCUGAUGCAGAAAGCAUUGUGGCUAAAACCAUUAGAGAUGGAGCGAUCGACGCAACCAUUGACCACAAGAACGGUUUGAUGGUCUCCAAGGAAACAGGAGACAUCUACUCAACUAACGAACCACAUACAACGUUUAACUCAAGAUUAGCUGUUAAAAAACUCAUAACUUUUGUUAUUUAAGUUCACUCAUAUUUGUAUUUACAAAAAUCAUCACAUUUUGGUGAUAUUUCACCGUAGAGGCGGGAUAAUGAACAAUUAUGUACUAAUGAUACAAUGAUACUACCUCUAUAUAAUAAUAAUGUUUGGACCAUGACAUUUUAUUAA